UUAUGUUGUUGUUGCUGGAGCUGC
rnacentral:piRNA from 1 species